rnacentral:lncRNA from 1 species
CGGUUGACAGAACUGCAGAGCUCAGUACAGUACUGCAAAGCCAGGGUUGCCACCACCACUGCCCUGGGCUCUCCACUUCUUGUCUCCUACAUCUACUGCAGCCUGCUGUCUUCUGAAAUGCCAGUCUCAUCCUGGCUUGCCACAUCCCGGGUCACAACAGCUAAUAUUUAUUGAGUAUUUACUAUGCUGGGCACUGUGUGAAGCAUUUAUUAUCCAAUUUAAUCCUCAGAAUAAAUCCCACAGAAUUGCUCCCAUUUGACAGAGAAGUAGAGGGAGGCUCAGACAGGUUAAGUAAAUUGUGCAGGUAAAUUGCAGGUUACGUUUCAGGCUUCAUUCAUCCACUUAAUUACACCCUCUCCCACUGUGGAGUCACAGCAGCAUGAUGGCAGAAUGCACUGGGCGUGGUGACACCUCCGUCACAUGCCAUC